rnacentral:lncRNA from 1 species
AAGGGAAAAGGACACAGAGACCCCUAACGUUUGAAUAAGGGACACAAAACCCCCUAAUGUUUCAAAAAAGACACUCAGACCCCUAUUUCUUAAUAGUAAAUUAUAAUUUUACCAUUAUACCCUUAUAGCAUAUUAAAAAAUAAUUGUUCAUUAUCCAAUUUAUUUCUAUAUUAUUAAAAAAAUUAUGAAUAUAACUUUAUUACCCAAUUUUUCCAUUUAAUUUUUAUCAAAUUUUAUCUUCAAAUUAAAUAAAUUUAAUCCAUUGCUCAAAAAUAAAAAUAAAUUAAAUUGAUU